rnacentral:lncRNA from 1 species
UAGUGACCUGGCGGGCGACUCAUACUUGUCCCCACAGGCGACUUAGAUAAAUGACGAAGGCCCAAGGCCCGGCGUACACCCUGUCAUAAGACGACUCAUAGAAAGGCCAGGAGGGCUGACUCACAUAGAAGGCCCAAGAAGAGGAGAGACUCCCUCGCAAAGGAAACAAGACCCGGAUUAGGAUUCAAGAGAGACUAGUCCUAUUCCUACUCCUAGUAGGACUCUACAUGUAAACCUACCCCUUUCACCUAUAGAAGGAGGGGUAAGGCGCCCCAAGAGGAACAAGAUUCAGAACUUAGGUCUAGACAAGGCAAAUCAUGAGAUAGACAGAUUAGGCACCCACGAGAUUAGAGAUGGCGAGUCUGCAUCCUUGUAAUUAAGAUCAUUAUCUUCAUCAAUGAAGCACAAGCAUGACGUAUGCUUUUACCUCCAUCAGAGGGGCCGAACCCGGGUAAACUCGCGUCUCUCGAUUCCGACCAACCCC